rnacentral:rRNA from 1 species
GUGAACGCUGGCGGCGUGGAUAAGGCAUGCAAGUCAAAAGGGUUUAGACGCAAGUUUAAAUACCUUGGCAGACGAGGUAGUAACACGUGGGUAUCUUCCCUCAAGUCAGGAAUAUUCCGUCGAAAGACGGCGCAAUACCUGAUGGUCUCUACGGAGUAAAGAUUUAUCGCUUGAGGAGGAGCCUGCGCAGUAUCAGCUAGUUGGUAGGGUAACGGCCUACCAAGGCUAUGACGCUUGGGGGAGCUGAGAGGCUGACCCCCACCGAGGGAACUGAGACACGGACCCUACUUCUACGGAGGGCAGCAGCCGAGAAUAUUCCGCAAUGGACGAAAGUCUGACGGAGCGACGCCGCGUGGUGGAUGAAGUCCUUCGGGACGUAAACACCUUUUAUGGGGGAAGACAUUUCGACUGUACCCCAGGAAUAAGGGGCUCCUAACUCUGU